rnacentral:rRNA from 1 species
AAAGGGGAGCAAUCCCUGAGUACAGUGGCGUACGGGUGAGUAACACGUGGAUCAUCUACCUUCUAGUGGGGAAUAACCCAGGGAAACCGGGGCUAAUACCGCAUAAGCUCGAGAGAGGAAAGCAGCAAUGCGCUGGAAGAGGAGUCCGCGGCCGAUUAGCUAGUUGGCAGGGUAAAAGCCUAUCAAGGCAGAGAUCGGUAGCCGGCCUGAGAGGGCACACGGCCACACUGGCACUGAAACACGGGCCAGACUCCUACGGGAGGCAGCAGUGGGGAAUCUUGCACAAUGGGGGAAACCCUGAUGCAGCGACGCCGCGUGAGCGAUGAAGCCCUUCGGGGUGUAAAGCUCUUUCGGCAGGGAAGAUGAUGACGGUACCUGCAGAAGCAGCUGCGGCUAACUACGUGCCAGCAGCCGCGGUAAUACGUAGGCAGCGAGCGUUGUUCGGAGUUACUGGGCGUAAAGGGUGUGUAGGCGGUUGUUUAAGUUUGGUGUGAAAUCUCCCGGCUCAACUGGGAGGGUGCGCCGAAUACUGAAUGACUUGGAGUGCGGGAGGGGAAAGUGGAAUUCCUGGUGUAGCGGUGAAAUGCGUAGAUAUCAGGAGGAACACCGGUGGUGUAGACGGCUUUCUGGACCGUAACUGACGCUGAGACACGAAAGCGUGGGUAGCAAACAGGAUUAGAUACCCUGGUAGUCCACGCCCUAAACGAUGCAUAUUUGGUGUGGGCAGUUCAUUCUGUCCGUGCCGGAGCUAACGCGUUAAAUAUGCCGCCUGGGGAGUACAGUCGCAAGGCUGAAACUCAAAGGAAUUGAC